AACUUAUCUUCAGUGUCUUCUGUAGAGG
rnacentral:piRNA from 1 species